GCCCGCAGAGCGGCAACGUCGCAUUUGGCUCGCGUCAUGCAUUCGUCAUGCAGUUUCACUGCUCAGGCAACUUGCGAGACGCAAACACGUAAUUUUAUUUCAAAAUGGCCGCCUCAGCAUCGAAUUUUGUUCACGUCGUUCAACAAUAUCCUUGUUUAUAUAAUAAUAAGUUACCUGAAUAUCUGAGAAAAGAUGUGACGGAUAAAGCUUGGAGUGAAGUUGCACAGAAAACAAACACAUCGGUGGCUGACUGUCAAACUCGAUGGAGAAACAUAAGGAAUGGUUUCGUCCGCAGUCUCAAACCUAACACAAAACAAAAGAAAUUAUACUAUCUACACGAAGAACUACAGUUUGUAGUGCCUUUUGUCAAAGCAAUAAUCAACACAAGUGAUACAGGGAAUAUGCAAAUAUCUGCUGAAGUAGAUACCGAAAAUAAUGAAUCUAAUUCUUUGACAGACGAUGAAGAACUCCAAUUUGCUUUACCCUGCGUUGAAACUAUCCAAACAAAUGAACUUGCAGAAACAAUUGUAAAAACAGAAAUGGAUGAAAAUAUGGAAUUAAAUUCUACUACUGAUGAUGUAGCUGAUUAUGGAAAUACAAGUCUAAAUACGCCAUUUUCAGUAGUGGAACCGUACGUAAGGAAAAGAAAAAUAAGAAAAGUUAGCAAUGAGGUUGAUAAAGCGUACGAAGAAUGGAUGAGACAAAAAGAGCUGAAGUCUGACAGAGCUAGGAAGAUGUUUUUGUUAAGUCUGGUACCAGAUGUGGAAAGUUUGACUGAGGAGCAAAUGAGGAAGUUUAGGAUAAAAGUGCUGCUGUUGCUUGAAGAUAUUCAGGCACAAUAAUAAUAGAGAAUCAUCACGGAAUUGUUUCUGAAGAUUUAUUACGAUUUGUAAUAUUGUCCAUAAAGUUAAAUACAUUUAAUAAUUUAUAUUCCCAUA